rnacentral:lncRNA from 1 species
AGAACACAACCUCCACCAACCAAAACCAGCAUCAAGUUGGCUAUUGAAUUCUACUCCCUUGGCUCAAAUUCUGGCCAUCCCCCUCGCAGAAAAUCCCAAAUUCUUAUCAGAUGGAUUCCCCCAAUCCUCCAUUGGUUCAAGCUCAACUCAGACGGCUCAGCCUUAGGAAACCCAGGUCCAGCGGGAGCUGGAGGUGUUAUCAGAGACGCCUCCGGAUGUUGGAUUAAAGGAUACUGCAG